GGCGGCAUGGCUCAGGAGGUAGAGCGGGCCUAGGAAUCAGAAGGUUCCCGGUUCGAUCCCUGGAUCCUCCA